UUAAUUAUUAAGUAUCAUUUGAAGUUUAUUUGAACUUAGAGUGAACUUUUCUACCAUAGAUUUUAACUUAGCAAUUUCAUUUUUCAAGUUUAAAUUUUUUUGUGUCAAGACUAAUUUUUCAUUUGAAAUAAUCUCAUUUUUUUUUAGUAAAGAUUAAUUAUUUGUUUUCAAUUCUUUAUUCUUUACCCCUAACUUCUUUAUAUCAUCAACUAGAUCAUAAAAUACUUUUUGAAGUUCUUCAAAAGUAAAGUCAUUAAGAGUUUCAGCAUUUACCUCAUUUUUAUGUGCCAUAAGGCACAAUUUGGCUUGUUCAUGAGACUCUUCUUCUUCGGAGCUUGACUCAUCACUAUCACUCCAGUAACCACCAUAGUCUUUUUCUUGUACUUCUUGGGGCCCUUCUUAAGUUGUAGACAUUUAGACCUAAAGUACCUCAGCUUCUUACAUUCAUAACAAAUAAAGAGCUGCUCCUUAUCCUUCUCCUUGUUAUGCUUCCCUUUUGUAGGUGACCUCUUCCUCAUCCAUUAUUUUUUUUUCUUCAAAAAUCUUUUAAACUUUCUAGUGACGAGGGCUAUUUCUUCAUCUUGCUUUUCAUUUUAUGUUUCAUCGGAUUUCUCAUCGAGUUGAGCAGUAGAUUUGAGGACGAUUGUCCUCUUCUUCUUGACAACUUCUUCUUGAUGUUGUUUCAUGCUUAGUUCGUGUAUCAUUAGCGAUCUUAGAAGCUCCUCCAAGGAUAAAAUAUUCAAAUCUUUGGCUUCUUGGAUUGCGAUCACUUUGACCUCCCAAGUCCUUGGUAAAGAUCUAAGAAUCUUUCUCACAAGAUCGCUGUUAGAAUAAGACUUAUCAAGAUUUUUUAGACCAUUAAUAAUAUCCAUAGAAUG
rnacentral:lncRNA from 1 species